rnacentral:rRNA from 1 species
AUUGAACGCUGGCGGCAGGCCUAACACAUGCAAGUCGAACGGUAACAGGAAGAAGCUUGCUUCUUUGCUGACGAGUGGCGGACGGGUGAGUAAUGUCUGGGAAACUGCCUGAUGGAGGGGGAUAACUACUGGAAACGGUAGCUAAUACCGCAUAAUGUCGCAAGACCAAAGAGGGGGACCUUCGGGCCUCUUGCCAUCGGAUGUGCCCAGAUGGGAUUAGCUAGUAGGUGGGGUAACGGCUCAUCUAGGCGACGAUCCCUAGCUGGUCUGAGAGGAUGACCAGCCACACUGGAACUGAGACACGGUCCAGACUCCUACGGGAGGCAGCAGUGGGGAAUAUUGCACAAUGGGCGCAAGCCUGAUGCAGCUAUGCCGCGUGUAUGAAGAAGGCCUUCGGGUUGUAAAGUACUUUCAGCGGGGAGGAAGGGAGUAAAGUUAAUACCUUUGCUCAUUGACGUUACCCGCAGAAGAAGCACCGGCUAACUCCGUG